GACGUAGGGUCCAAGCGUUGUCCGGAUUUACUGGGCGUAAAGGGCGCGUAGGCGGCGCAACAAGUCACUUGUGAAAUCUCCGGGCUUAACCCGGAGCGGCCAAGUGAUACUGUCGUGCUAGAGUGCGGAAGGGGCUACUGGAAUUCUCGGUGUAGCGGUGAAAUGCGUAGAUAUCGAGAGGAACACCUGCGGCGAAGGCGGGUAGCUGGGCCGACACUGACGCUGAGGCGCGAAAGCCAGGGGAGCGAACGGG
rnacentral:rRNA from 1 species